UUAAACUAUAUUUGUCUUAAGUUGUAUUUGAAAUUAAAACUUAGUUUUUUUUACAAACAAAUGUCCAUAGUUGUAUGGUAAUUAGUACGGGAAUUGCCGCCAUUUUGUAACCUGCUGUUUUAUAACGAGGAUAUUGGUUGAUAUUUUUUUAAGAACUCCCCCCUUCCUUGUGGUGAUUUUUUAAGACAAAAAAGGAACGAUACUUCAUAGGAAGACGUGAACUCCUGCUGAUGUGCCUGUUUCAUGAAAAGGGAUCAAGAAGAAGCCAGUUGCUGCCUGGUUGCCAGCAACUUGGUGUUUUUACGAUGCUACCGACACCGAUGUGGUACUCGAAGUUCUGAAACCGGCAAAGAAAAAACAACUAGAACUUUGUGGGGAGCAAGAAGAUCUGCACGCUAAGGAAUGCCUUCAAGUGAAUGAGCCAUGCCUCUUGAAGGACAGCUUCCAUGACGACCCCUGCCAGGACAAGGAUGACUUCCACUUUCAUAUGAUGACUUCCACUUUCAUAUGAUGGCUACCAUAUAAUGAUAUCUUCUGUUGAUGAUGUCCACCUCUGGCUACUUGUUAUUGCUGUUAUUACUCCAAAUAAAGAGAAUACUAUA